rnacentral:rRNA from 1 species
UACGAGGGGGGCAAAUGUUGUUCGGAAUCACUGGGCGUAAAGGGAGCGUAGGCGGGUUUUUAAGUCAGGUGUUUAAUCCCGGGGCCCAACCCCGGACAGGCACUUGAAACUGGGAAUCUUGAUUAGUGGAGAGGUCGGUGGAAUUGGGGGUGUAGCGGUGGAAUGCGUAGAGAUCCCCAAGAACACCCGUUGCGAAGGCGGCCGACUGGACACAUAUUGACGCUGAGGCUCGAAAGCAUGGGGAGCAAACAGG